AUUGAACGCUGGCGGCAGGCCUAACACAUGCAAGUCGAGCGAGCGGCGGACGGGUGAGUAAUGUAUGGGGACUGCCCGAUAGCGGGGGAUAACUACUGGAAACGGUGGCUAAUACCGCAUACUAUCGGAUAACCCAUAUGGGAUUAGCUAGUAGGUGGGGUAAAGGCUCACCUAGGCGACGAUCUCUAGCUGGUCUGAGAGGAUGAUCGGCCGCACUGUGACUGUGAGACGGCCCAGACGCCUACGGAGGCAGCGGUGGGGAAUAUGGCACAAUGGGCGCAAGCCUGAUGCAGCCAUGCCGCGUGUAGGAGGAAGGCCUUAGGGUUGUAAAGUAGUUUAAGCGGGGAGGCGUUACCCGCAGAAGAAGCACCGGCUAACUCCGUGCCAGCAGCCGCGGUAAUUC
rnacentral:rRNA from 1 species